rnacentral:rRNA from 1 species
UACGUAGGGGGCGAGCGUUGUCCGGAUUUAUUGGGCGUAAAGAGCGUGUAGGCGGUUCGGUAAGUCUGUCGUGAAAUCCUGAGGCUCAACCUCGGACGUGCGAUGGAUACUGCCGGGCUAGAGGAUGGUAGAGGCGAGUGGAAUUCCCGGUGUAGCGGUGAAAUGCGCAGAUAUCGGGAGGAACACCAGUAGCGAAGGCGGCUCGCUGGGCCAUUCCUGACGCUGAGACGCGAAAGCUAGGGGAGCAAACGGG